rnacentral:tmRNA from 1 species
GGGCCAGUACUGGUUUCGACGGGGGUUAUGCAGCCGGAGAAGCGAGCCGCGAGGAAGCGCGUCAGACUCCAAACCUAAACAUAAACGCUAACGAUAAUUUAGCAAUUGCUGCCUAACUAAGGCAACGGUCCGCCCGAGUGCACCUGCGCGCACGGAUACGGGCCUCAUCCACGCAGGAAACGACGUACGCAAAGCUUUGAGCGUAUGGGCGUAUCAUGAAGCUACCAAAAGCAUAAGGAUGUUUGUUUCCGUAUGCCGGAGGGAAUGUCAAAUAACAAACUAAGCUCGUAGAAGGACGGGGAAUUGAUUUUCGGACAGGGGUUCGACUCCCCUCUGGUCCACUC